GUGCUCGCUUUGGCAGCACAUAUACUAAAAUUGGAACGAUACAGAGAAGAUUAGCCUGGCCCCUGCACAAGGAUGACACACAAAUUCGUGAAGCGUUCCAUAUUUAA
ensembl:snRNA U6 U6 spliceosomal RNA